rnacentral:lncRNA from 1 species
GGGCCCUAUCCUGCUCCGUGUGGGACCCCGCAUUCGGGCCUCCUUAGGCACCGGGUAAAAAGGGGAGAGAGGUACAGGCGUGUAGGUGCAGCCAUAGAGGUGUAUGCGUGUACCAUGCAUGGAGCACCACGCACACGCUAUAGAUACACUGUAUAUAGGACCCAUAUAAGACAUCUGCGUGCCCGAGUGUAUUUAUAAGCAUAUAUUUCCAAAUGACACAUGCGCACACAUGUUUAUUUAUUACUUACAUAUUAUAUAUUACGUAUAUUGCAUUAUAUAUUUAUUGUGUGUUGUUUUAUAUUACGUAUAUAGUAUACAUAUGUAGUAUACAUAUGUAUAUAUAUAUAUAGUAUGUGAGAGAUAUAUAUUGUAUAAAUACACACCUCGCGUUGCUCUUUACAGUGCCGGGGGCUCGGUGCUUCUAGUCCUGCUGCACUGCAGCCCCCUCCGCCGCUGUCCUCCGACCCCACUCGACGAUUCUUCUCCCAGUGUACGAAACCCCCACAGAGAGAAGGGUGCGAGGGGCAGAGGGGACACAGGAGGGGGAUCAGCCCUGUCCCGGGCACGGCUCGGCCUUGGUGUAGCCCCAGGAGGGCCACAGGCUGUCACCUCCCAGGCCACCCACUCGGGGCUGUCCCAGCGAGGCCGAGCCCCGAGCUCGCUUCGCGUUUGCAGUCUCGAAGGCCGGUAUACCCCGACGGCACGGAGCAGCCCCUGCCCCGCUCCAUAGGGCCACUCCGAGCCACCGCCUCCCCACGUCGAGGAACAGCGGUUUGAGGGAGAAUUGCGGCUCUGGGGAAUGCUUUUACUCUCCGGUCCGGGGGGAGGGGGGUCAGCCCUGGGCUGGCCUUGGGGUCAGCGAAACCCGAGGAAAGCGGCCGCUCUGGGAGACGCGAUCCCCUCUUUCCUCUUCUGCUGUCGUCUUUCUUGUCCUUCCCGUGGAAGCGGGGACACUCCCGCACCCCGCAGACGGGAACGGAGGGAAAUGAUCCGUUCCGAACUCCGUCGCCCCGUUAGUUUUCUUUCGGCCGCGACUUUCGCCGAGAAACCCAAAAGCACUAAGAACAGCACACCAUCAGUCGAACAAAAACUUCAGCGUUUCGGAGGAACUCUCAAACUUCAGCCCAAUCUCCGCCCGCCGCCGAAACCGGACCCGUUCGAAGAGAUGGAUGAUAUGACACUCCACCUUGCCCUGGAAGGUAACAGGAGGCAGAAAAACCUCUCUGGAAUACAUCAGUGCCCUUCUACUUUUGGUAUUCAAACUGACAGACAAUCUUCAUAUGAAGCAAUAGGGCUCCAGAUGGCCAAAAGACUUCACACAAGCAGCAGAGGACAACUGAAUGAGGAGGAAGGUUCUUCCAAAACGCAUACCAGUGCCCAAACUUCUUUCUUGCUUGUCCAGUUCUUUGUGGUGGCUGCACAGAGGACACAUGCCCCAGACAACGCAGGGCUGAUGCCUAGACCCAAGCCAGAUGACAGCCAUUUGGAGAUGUAAUGACUAAGUGUGGGCAUUCCAGGGGUGGGAGCAUGCUGCAGAACCCCCCUUGGAGCAACCUACAUGAGAAGCUUAGCUGAAGAACAGGACCAACAUGGAUGUAGAGGAGGAAGAUUACAUGGUUUCAAUACAGAGAACUCCAAACAUUAACUUGCUGAGGUCGCAUUGGUGUUGUUGGAAGCAUUUACUGUGGGAGAAUGAAGGCAUCCAGAAAAAUGAACACUCCCUAUAGUAAAGAUGAUGGGGUUCUUCAGGUUGGUGUUUUGAGGACUCUGACAAUCACAUGUGUAUUUUAUGUGGAAAAAUAACCCUCUUCCCUUUAUGCUCCUCUAUAGUCAAACAGCUCACUCAUCAAUGGCAAUCUCAAACAGCUUCCUUGCUACCUUCCUUUUCCUUCUUCUGUACCUUCUUCCCUUAAAACAAGGAAGUUCAGCUCCACCUGUAUACACAGUUGUAUAAUUUUUCACAUGUUAAACAUACCAGAGGUUCCUGUUCCUGACAUUCCCAAGACAGUGCAGUGGAAGAAAGAAUACUGGGACUGCUAUUGUUUGUACCCCUCACAUUUUAUUAGAGCGUACAAUGUUGAGAUGUUGCUUUCAAGCCUAGUACUCUGUUGCUUAUAACUGUUUUGCCUCUUUGAGACCAAAUAAGUUUAGUAUUAAAAUAAAAUAAGUUAAAAAAAAGAACGACAGAGGUACUACCACAAAAUCAUCUGUUCAGACAUCAUCACGAGGUGAAGUUUACAUUUAAAAUAACACUUUCUACAUCCUGGCAUUACUGAUCAGUCAGGCUUGCCUGCUGAAGUAAUCAGGACCAUUGCUAUAGAAUUUUCUGUAAACAAAUAAAGAUUUUUUGCAGCUUCUGUGUAUGAACUGAGUCACAGUGAGUGGCUUAACAAGUCUAUGCGUGAACUGUUUUAGGACUCAUGUAGAGGCCAAAAGAAAAACAGUUAUUCUGCACUCUUACCUUGCUCAAUACGGCUCUUGUCUAAGAAAAACAAUUCUCCACUUUUCCCAGUAAGCACUGGCACUUUAAGUUUCUUAUCUCUCAUCGAACUUUUGUCACGUACUUUCAUGAAAGCUGAGCUGAAAGACCACAUUUCAAAGAGAUGCUACACUUCACCCUAAACAGAGUCCAAUGUUGUCUCUAGUCCACAUUAAUAUCAAAGCACUCAUUUCAUUUUCAAUUACCUCGUAGAACCAUGCAUGCUCUUCCACUUUCUCCACUUCACUGCUGAAGAAGAAAAGAAGAGAGGAAAAUAUGUUGGCAGCUGUAGGAUGCCCAAUAUGCUUGGGUAGCUUUGCCCCAUUUUUUGAUCUUUACAGAGCCUCUUGCAGAGCUCCACCUUCAUCUCUAGAUGAGGAAUGAGAGGGUGGAGAACAUCUGCUGGUGCCAAUCUUGGAGCAGAAAGCAGACAACAGCCUUUGUAACACUCAGUGACAGGCACCGAUAACCUGGUUUUUAACUGAUCCUCCCUGGAACACACAUGUUAAGCAUCAACAUCCUUUAAUUUUUUCUUCAAAGAAAAUAAAGUCGUUUUUAUUUAAAGCAUGGGAUACUUUUUUCUCCUACUGAAGAAAGCCAGAAUUUGAAAUCACAGAAGUACUUAAACACACACCAAGCUUUAAAUACCGCUGGGGAUUUAUUCAGCACUCAAACAUGUGUUAAUGGAUGAAUUUAAGUACGUGCUUAAGCACAUUGCUGAAUCAGGGCCUAAAACAGCAUAUUCUCAUUUUAUUUAUAUUUUUAUGAAAUUUCUUUAAAUGCUCAUGCAAAUAAAUUGGUGAAACUUGACUUCACUGGAGAAGCAUUUACUGGAAAUUAUUUCUUAAUUAAAAUCUGAAGCCAUAAAUUUUCAUCUACAGAUGAUGUGCAGGAUUUUUCCAGUGUGAAAUUGACACGGAACAGAAUUUUGAGGGGAGAAAGGUGGACGGUCAUCUGGAAACUGUAGCGAAAUAUGACAGAGGCAAGGGAACAUUUAGCAAAUACUAUAAAAAGAUAUUCAAAGGUUUCAAUUGACAAACUAUCUUCUAAAGAGAGUUCUUGCAGAAAAUACUUUUUUUGUUGCUUCACACUGAAAUGCCUGUACAGAUGCAGUUCCUGUACAGAGAAAUGCAGUUUUUAGUAUCAGCUGCCCUUAGAAAUAAGAUUUUCAAGAUCGAGGAGGAAAUAAGCAGCUUCUAUGAGGUGUUGAUCUUGAAAUGCCAGCCUUGCUUCAGUACAGUGCAGAGAGCUAUUGGACCAGACCCUGGCUACUGAUAGCCUGUUUGAAUUGGAGCACACUAAGCACAGCAUAAUAACUGUAACUCAAAACCUGUUUCUUGAAAAUAUAUUACACUCGUCCAAGUAAGCAGCUUCUACACUGCAACUGAACCAUAAAUGCUGAGGAUAAUUUGCUCAUUGUUUUUUAGUGGGGAGGCACAACUUUCCACUCUUCCAAAACAAGGCUCAGAGCAAAGAGUAUCCAUCUGCAUACUAGUGGAACACAUGCAUCAAAACAGAGAAAAGAAAGAAAUCUCUUGAUUUUCAGACAGACAUUUGACAUACCCAUGGGUAAACCUUUUGCCACAUGUGAAGGGGUAUGGUAUAGAAUGAACAGUCAAAAUUCCUGGUCCAAGUGAGAUGCUAUCUGGGGAAAGAAGUCAACCCUUCUCUUAGGUGCUCAGCUCUAAUGAUGCUGCAGAAAAAUGAGACUGACUGAAACUCGUGUUCAUGCAGAUUUCUGUUCUGCAAGUGUUCUGACAUCUGCCAAGAGUAAUUGACAGCUAAGCAAGGAUGUGUCCAUGCAUGUCAUUUUUCUGUGUUCAGGAGGCUUUGAGGGGAAUUUGGGGAAAUUUAGGGCUGGCACUCCAGAGCCCCCAACCUUGGAUGGUUUUUCCUAACAGAAAAUAGUGUCCUUACCCCUGAGAGACAGUCUGUGACAUGGAGACCCUGAACUGUGGAUGCAAGGACAGGCAAUGAAGACAAACAUGGAUGGAAGAGGGGCAGACAGGAGGUGAUGGAUAGAAACAGAAGUAGCAAGGAGUCUUUGCACUGAAUGCUGGCCCAGUGCUCCACUAGGCUUGGUCAGCAAUGUAAAAGGCAUGGGAACUCCUAUGUGAAGCUGAAAGAAAGCACUAAUCUCCAAAAAUUGUUCAGUGGCAAACACCUGAGACCAUGACAGGCUGGUAAGAAGAACUUGUGUGAUUGAGGGACCAGAAAGAUUUGUCUCUUAGCUGAUCUUUUAAGGUCAAGAUGGCUUUUGAGGUUUUUUUUUGAGAGAAUUGAGUCAGCGUGCAUGCCCACCAGCCUGCCAGAUAGCAAGCAUGUGAUUACCACAUGAUCAACUGCUGGUUACCUAUAUGACAAGAGCAGGUGCUGUUGCCCAAAGCAACAAGAGAUGCAUGAGAGCAGAAAGAACAGGAUAAAAACUGAAGAGAUUGGAGGUAGUGUGAGUGCCCCCUCCAUUAAAUAUCUCCUUCAUUAACUGAAGUGAGACACUACAUUGGCAUCACAGGGUAGUAUAUACCCCAACCUGAGAGCAUUGUCAUCCAAGAAUAUGAGUGUACCCUCAUAUUCUCAUAUGAGUGUACAGGACAGACCUCGAGGUGAGAGGAUUAUAAUUUUAGACUUAGAGUUUGUAAUAAAUCAGUUGGGCAAAAUCUUGGCCUUCUUUGCUAUCUUAGUCUUGCUCCGGGAAUGUAUAUAUGGAGCCAUUUCCUCCAGUAACCGAAACAAGACGUCUCCGUGCCAUAAAAGCAAAAUGAGGUAAUUUCAAUAUAAGAAGUCAGAGAUGUACGUUAAUAAAAGCAAAUAAUACUUAAAGAUUAAAAUAAAUGUUUUUUAAUUUUGGAAAAAAAAAAAUAUAUAUAUAUAUAUAUAUAUAUUUACAUAUUUGCUUUAGGAAAUCCCAGGAACUUAUCUUUCACUGUUUUCUCUCCUGAUGAGAGAGCAGAAAUUUCCUCCUCCUUUUCUGAGAGUGCAGAUACCUCUCCUUUUUCUUUCUGGACAGGAUGUGAUGUGGGGCCAAGCCAGGCUAAGGAAGAAUUUGGGUCCUCUGCAUUGUGCUGUGGCCUGGGAGCACCACAUCACAGACUUAUUCCAGGAGAAAAUAACAGUAGGGGUCAGUACAUAAUUGCCAAUGACCACAGCCUCUGGGGGAGACAAGGAUAUGAUGGUUUUAAAGGAAGCAUCUAACAAGGAAGAAAUUACAGUUACAGAAGAGAUCUUAGGCAGCAGACUGACUGAGCAAGUCCUGUAAGAGGAUUUCUGCAUGAAUCACUGUGCUUCAUGAGGUCAGAGGAUCAGAUCCAAGCCCACACAGUCCGCUUCUGAACCAUGCAGAGGGAGUUGUUAAGUGAGAAACUGAGUGCUGUACCAGG